rnacentral:tRNA from 1 species
AGUUGGUUGGCUCAGUGGUUAGAGCUUAGUCUCGUAACCGAAAGGUCGCUGGAUCGAAUCCCGCUAGAGCCUA